UACGGGGGGUGCAAGCGUUGUUCGGAAUUACUGGGCGUAAAGGGUUUGUAGGCGGCUUGUUAAGUCAGACGUGAAAUCCCUCAGCUUAACUGGGGAACUGCGUCUGAGACUGGUGAGCUUGAGUGCAGGAGAGGAACGCGGAAUUCCAGGUGUAGCGGUGAAAUGCGUAGAUAUCUGGAGGAACACCGGUGGCGAAGGCGGCGUUCUGGACUGCAACUGACACUGAUGAACGAAAGCCAGGGGAGCAAACGGG
rnacentral:rRNA from 1 species